rnacentral:rRNA from 1 species
UACGAAGGGGCUAGCGUUGCUCGGAAUCACUGGGCGUAAAGGGUGCGUAGGCGGGUUUUAAGUCAGAGGUGAAAUCCUGGAGCUCAACUCCAGAACUGCCUUUGAUACUGAGAAUCUUGAGUACGGGAGAGGUGAGUGGAACUGCGAGUGUAGAGGUGAAAAUUCGUAGAUAUUCGCAAAGAACACCAGUGGCGAAGGCGGCUCACUGGCCCGGUACUGACGCUGAGGUGCGAAAGCGUGGGGAGCAACAGGG